CACGGAGGGUGCAAGCGUUAUCCGGAUUUACUGGGUUUAAAGGGUGUGUAGGCGGGCUAUUAAGUCAGUGGUGAAAUCUCCGGGCUCAACCCGGAAACUGCCAUUGAUACUAUUAGUCUUGAAUUUUGUUGAGGUAGGCGGAAUAAGUCAUGUAGCGGUGAAAUGCAUAGAUAUGACUUAGAACACCAAUUGCGAAGGCAGCUUACUAAGCAAAUAUUGACGCUGAGGCACGAAAGCGUGGGGAUCAAACAGG
rnacentral:rRNA from 1 species